CCUGGUGGCUCAGAUGGUAAAGCAUCUGCCUAUAAUGCAGGAGACCCUGGUUCAAUCCCUGGGUCAGGA
rnacentral:tRNA from 1 species